rnacentral:rRNA from 1 species
GAGUUUGAUCAUGGCUCAGAUUGAACGCUGGCGGCAGGCCUAACACAUGCAAGUCGAGCGGUAGCACAGAGAGCUUGCUCUCGGGUGACGAGCGGCGGACGGGUGAGUAAUGUCUGGGAAACUGCCUGAUGGAGGGGGAUAACUACUGGAAACGGUAGCUAAUACCGCAUAACGUCGCAAGACCAAAGUGGGGGACCUUCGGGCCUCAUGCCAUCAGAUGUGCCCAGAUGGGAUUAGCUAGUAGGUGGGGUAACGGCUCACCUAGGCGACGAUCCCUAGCUGGUCUGAGAGGAUGACCAGCCACACUGGAACUGAGACACGGUCCAGACUCCUACGGGAGGCAGCAGUGGGGAAUAUUGCACAAUGGGCGCAAGCC